UACGGAGGGGACUAGCGUUGUUCGGAAUUACUGGGCGUAAAGCGCGCGUAGGCGGCUUUGUAAGUUAGAGGUGAAAGCCCAGGGCUCAACCCUGGAAUUGCUUUUAAGACUGCAUCGCUUGAACAUCGGAGAGGUAAGUGGAAUUCCGAGUGUAGAGGUGAAAUUCGUAGAUAUUCGGAAGAACACCAGUGGCGAAGGCGACUUACUGGACGAUUGUUGACGCUGAGGUGCGAAAGCGUGGGGAGCAAACGGG
rnacentral:rRNA from 1 species